UACGGAGGAUGCGAGCGUUAUCCGGAUUUAUUGGGUUUAAAGGGUGCGCAGGCGGUCUGUUAAGUCAGCGGUCAAAGCCCGGGGCUCAACCCCGGCCCGCCGUUGAAACUGGCAGUCUCGAGUUGGAGAGAAGUAUGCGGAAUGCGCGGUGUAGCGGUGAAAUGCAUAGAUAUCGCGCAGAACUCUGAUUGCGAAGGCAGCAUGCCGGCUCCACACUGACGCUGAGGCACGAAAGCGUGGGUAGUCGAACA
rnacentral:rRNA from 1 species